rnacentral:lncRNA from 1 species
UUCAAACUAGACAAUUACUAAGAUGCCUGGAGAGACUUCCAUGAACGGAUGCUAAGUGAAGUGAGCAAAACCAGGAGAUCAUUUUGCACAGCAAUGACAAGAUUAUGUGAUGAUCAGUUCUGAUGGACCUGUUGAUUCAAGCCAGUUCCAGUGGUUUUGUGAUGAGAACCAUCUACACCCAGAGAGAGGACUGUGAGAAUUGGGUCACAAAAUUUCAAUCUGCAACAAAGGUCAUUGAGGCAGAGCUCUGAGGAUGAUCAAUCAGUUUAUUAGAAAAAAAUGGUAGUCUCUAAGCAGUUGGAUCCAAGACCUUCCUCAUGGUCAAAAACCUGGAUGCUCUGGGACUGGAGAUUUUAUAGACUUUGGGGAUUCCCUGGAAGGCCUUCUAUUUCUUGACUUGUGAUGGACAAUGCCAUCUAUAUCCAGAUAAGGAACUAUGGAGUCUACAUGCAGAUGGAAGGUUAAUAUUUUUCCUUUUU